GUAGCGCAAUGGUAACGCAUCUGACUCCAUAUCAGAAAGUUGCGUGUUCGAAUCACGUC
rnacentral:tRNA from 1 species